rnacentral:rRNA from 1 species
UACGGAGGGUGCAAGCGUUAAUCGGAAUUACUGGGCGUAAAGCGUGCGCAGGCGGUCUGUUAAGUCCGUUGUGAAAUCCCCGGGCUCAACCUGGGAAUGGCAUUUGGGACUGCAAGGCUGGAGUGCGGCAGAGGAGACUGGAAUUCCUGGUGUAGCAGUGAAAUGCGUAGAUAUCAGGAGGAACACCGAUGGCGAAGGCAGGUCUCUGGGCUGACACUGACGCUCAUGCACGAAAGCGUGGGGAGCAAACAGG